rnacentral:lncRNA from 1 species
UUUAGGUGUUUCUGAAGAGUAAAUAGUUGUUUUCUUUGGUGAAGCGCGCCACCUAUUGAAAUUUUAACUUUACUCACUUAUUUAAUUUCUUUAUGGAAUUGUGUAAAAUAUUGUACAAAAGAAUCUAUCUUAGCCUAUAAAUAGAUAGAAAUUUUAUUGAGAUCAUAUUAUUAGAUAGAUUAUUGAAAUAGUUUAUAGUUAUAAUUUUGCUUUAGUGUUAAUGAAUUUUGAUGAAUAGUGGUGAAUAGCAGUGUUUCUAUUUCAUCAGAUUGUUGUAAAUAAAGUAAGGGAAUAAAGUGAAUCAAAAGAAGAGUUUUGAUAAAUGAUAAAAUACUUGAAAAUGUAUAUUAUUAUCACCUUAAUUGGGUAAUAGAGUAGAAAAAUAUUGGUUUCUGUAUGUAAAUAAUGUCAAGUGAUUUAUCUUUCAAAUUUUAUCAAGAGUGUAUGAAUUUUGUUAGAAUAAAAAAAAGGAUCAAAGAUAUAUAUAUAUAAAAAAAGGGGUAGGCAAAUGAUCAUUAGAGAUGGAACAUAUUCUUUGGGACUGAGAACUGAUUAAUUUUCUUUUGAAUUCUGAGUGUGGACGCAUGUUCAGAUAUUUCUUUGUUUGAAAGACUUCAAGUUUUUGUUGGGAGUGGCCAAUCCCUGCAUUAAUUUGUGGUCUAGUUUCUUCUGUUGUUAGAUUCUAAUUUUUUUUUAUUAUUUCAAUGGUUACUCAGCUAUUGAGUAGGUUCCACCUCUGAUCUUCAUUGAAUUUGUAAUCAAGAGUUUUUAUUUGAUUUUUAUUUGAUGUUGAGUUUUGAAUUAAUAAUUUUACAAAUAGAUGAUUUAUUUCUUGGAAUAAUUCAACUCUAAGAGUGAAUAUUUCUCAACUCAAAUUCUUAUGAAGCAUUCUUCUCUGAUAAAUUCUAUAUAUAUGUUAAUUCAACUUAAAAAUUAUCUUAGCUAGCUCAAAUUUUUUUUUUAGAAUGUAGCUUUCACACACUUGAGUGGAGGGAGUAUGUAACAAUUUUGGACAUGAUUAUUUUUAUCUUGUUUUUCUGUUAUUUCGGUUCUAAAUUCGAUUGUAUUAUCAGCUUGUUUUUCUCAGUGAGACAAAGAUGCACUUAUGGGAUCGAGCUGUACCCUUCGAAUAAUCUACUUUCUUGUUCUCUCCAGUUCUUUUUUGCUAUUUUCUUUCUCCCUUUUUCUGUCCUUGUUGGUAGCUUUGAGUUUGCAUUGCUCUUUCUCUCUAGUUUCUUUGUCUAAUUUUGAUAAUUCCGUUUUGCUUACGUCACUGUCUUGUUUGCUACCCCGUCUUCAACGCUCGAUGAUCCAUUCUGUCUCUGAAUUUCGUGAGUGGAGGUUGUAAAUUUAACUUUUUCCUUUGAUUCCAUUUUUAUUUAGCUUAUGCUAAAUUUUUCUAUUUAUUACAAUAUGUAGUUGAUCAGAGACAGAUUUCAUUCAUCACAAGUUGUGAUAUUAUUAUUAUUUUCUUUAUUUUUUUUUAUUUCCUUUUUAAAUAUGUAAAUUUUCUUGUUUGUUAUUAAAAAAAAAAAAAAAAAGAAAAGUAAUCAUGUCCGAAAAUUUAAUUGAGUAUUCAUUCUAGCUGGCCUAAGUUAUGGCAAUUUAUUUAUAUUUGUUGAAAACCUCAUUCAUCACAUAUGUAUCCAUAGUAAUUUCUACAAUUUCCGCUGUACAGCGGUCAUAGACUCGUAGACUCGUAGACUCGUAGACUCGUAGACUCGUAGUAUCACAGGAUGUCUUAGUUAUGGCCAUGGAAGCUGAAUCCUUGCUGACCAACUCAUCACAAGGAAACCAAUAUUUCCAGAAAAGAUCUAAAUUCGCCGUAAAAAGGAUACUUCAAGAACUUCUUGUGCAGUGAAAAAUUAAUAAGUGAAAAAUUUGAAUAAAGUGUACGGAGGCCUCCUCACUUCAAUACACCAGGUAUUUACGAAACAACCAAUAUUAAUUUAUGGAAAAUUCACAGGCAACUACUUCGCAAAAAUAAAUGGGACAGGAUAAUAAAUAAAUUUGUAAUUACUUGAUUUAAAUUUUGUUUAUUUUUUGGAAAUUCUAUUUAUUUGAUCUAUUAUGUAUAUUAAAUUGCAAACAUGAUUACAAU